rnacentral:lncRNA from 1 species
UACGUUACUUGCCCGAGACUCGAUCGUCGGUGUCCCAAUACCUUGUUCAGUCUCGUUACCGGCAAGUCACUUUACUCGUACCGUAAUGCAUGAUCCCGUGACCAACACCUUGGUCACAUUGAGCUCAUUAUGAUGAUGCAUUACCGAGUGGGCCCAGAGAUACCUCUCUGUCAUACGAAGUGACAAAUCCCAGUCUCGAUCCGUGUCAACCCAACAGAUACUUUCGGAGAUACCUGUAAUGCACCUUUAUAGUCACCCAGUUACGUUGUGACGUUUGAUACACCCAAGGCACUCCUACGGUAUCCGGGAGUUACACGAUCUCAUGGUCGAAGGAAGAGAUACUUGACAUUGGCAAAGCUCUAGCAAACGAACUACACGAUCUUUGUGCUAUGCUUAGGAUUGGGUCUUGUCCAUCACAUCAUUCUCCUAAUGAUGUGAUCCCGUUAUCAACGACAUCCAAUGUCCAUAGUCAGGAAACCAUGACCAUCUGUUGAUCACAACGAGCUAGUCAACUAGAGGCUCACUAGGGACAUAUUGUGGUCUAUGUGUUCACACGUGUAUUAUGAUUUCCGGAUAAUACAGUUAUAGCAUGAACAAAAGACAAUUAUCAUGAACAAUGAAAUAUAAUAAUACUUUUAUUAUUGCCUCUAGGGCAUAUUUCCAACAGUCUCCCACUUGCACUAGAGUCACUAAUCUAGUUACAUUGUGAUGAAUCGAACACCCAUAGAGUUCUGGUGUUGAUCAUGUUUUGCACGCGAGAGAGGUUUAGUCAACGGAUCUGCGACAUUCAGAUCCGUGUGCACUUUGCAAAUCUCUAUGUCUCCAUCUUGAACAUUUUCAUGGAUGGAGUUGAAACGACGCUUGAUGUGCCUGGUCUUCUUGUGAAACCUGGGCUCCUUGGCAAGCGCAAUAGCUCCAGUGUUGUCACAGAAGAGUUUGAUCGGCCCCGAUGCAUUGGGUAUGACUCCUAGGUCGGUGAUGAACUCCUUCACCCAAAUCGCUUCAUGCGCUGCCUCCGAGGCUGCCAUGUACUCCGCUUCACAUGUAGAUCCUGCCACGACGCUCUGCUUGCAGCUGCACCAGCUUACCGCUCCACCAUUCAACAUAUACACGUAUCCGGUUUGUGACUUGGAGUCAUCCGGAUCCGAGUCGAAGCUAGCGUCGACGUAACCCUUUACGACGAGCUCUUCGUCUCCUCCAUAAAGGAGAAACAUGUCCUUUGUCCUUUUCAGGUACUUCAGGAUAUUCUUGACCGCUGUCCAGUGAUCCUUGCCGGGAUUACUUUGGUAUCUUGCUACCAAACUUACGGCAAGGUUUACAUCAGGUCUGGUACACAGCAUGGCAUACAUAAUAGAUCCUAUGGCUGAAGCAUAGGGGAUGACACUCAUCUCUUCUUUAUCUUUUGCCGUGGUCGGUGACUGAGCUGAGCUCAAUCUCACACCUUGUAACAUGGGCAAGAACCCUUUCUUGGACUGAUCCAUUUUGAACCUCUUCAAAAUUUUAUCAAGGUAUGUGCUUUGUGAAAGACCUAUGAGGCGUCUCGAUCUAUCUCUAUAGAUUUUGAUGCCUAAUAUAUAAGCAGCUUCUCCAAGGUCCUUCAUUGAAAAACACUUAUUCAAGUAGGACUUAAUGCUGUCCAGAAGUUUUGUAUCAUUUCCCAUCAAGAGUAUGUCAUCUACAUAUAAUAGGAGAAAUGCUACAGAGCUCCCACUCACUUUCUUGUAAACGCAGGCUUCUCCAUAAGUCUGCAUAAACCCAAACACUUUGAUCAUCUCAUCAAAGCGAAUGUUCCAACUCCGAGAUGCUUGCACCAGUCCAUAAAUGGAUCGCUGGAGCUUGCAUACUUUGUUAGCGUUCUGAGGAUCGACAAAACCUUCCGGCUGCAUCAUAUACAGCUCUUCCUUAAGAUAUCCGUUAAGGAAUGCCGUUUUGACGUCCAUCUACCAUAUCUCAUAAUCAUAGUAUGCGGCAAUUGCUAACAUGAUUCAGACGGACUUCAGCUUCGCUACGGGAGAGAAUGUCUCGUCGUAGUCAAUCCCUUGAACUUGUCGAUAACCCUUAGCGACAAGUCGAGCUUUAUAGAUGGUAACAUUUCCAUCCGCGUCCGUCUUCUUCUUAAAAAUCCAUUUGUUUUCUAUCGCUCGCCGAUCAUCGGGCAAGUCUGUCAAAGUCCAUACUUUGUUUUCAUACAUGGAUUCUAUCUCGGAUUUCAUGGCUUCAAGCCAUUUGUUGGAAUCUGGGCCCGCCAUCGCUUCUUCAUAGUUCGAAGGUUCACCGUUGUCUAACAACAUGAUUUCCAGGACAGGGUUGCCGUACCACUCUGGUGCGGAACGUGUCCUUGUGGACCUACGAAGUUCAGUAGCAACUUGAUCCGAAGUACCUUGAUCAUCAUCAUUGGUUUCCUCCUCAGUUGGUGUGGGCAUCACAGGAACAUUUUCCUGAGCUGCACCACCUUUCCGUUCGAGAGGUAGUACUUCAUCGAGUUCUACUUUCCUCCCACUUACUUAUUUCGAGAGAAACUCUUUUUCCAGAAAGCAUCCGUUCUUGGCAACAAAGAUCUUGCCUUCGGAUCUUAAGUAGAAGGUAUACCCAACAGUUUCCUUAGGGUAUCCUAUGAAUACGCAUUUUUCUGACUUGGGUUCGAGCUUUUCAGGUUGAAGUUUCUUGACAUAAGCAUCGCAUCCCCAAACUUUUAGAAACGACAGCUUAGGUUUCUUCCCAAACCAUAAUUCAUACGGUGUCGUCUCAACGGAUUUAGACGGUGCCCUACUUAAAGUGAAUGUAGCUGUCUCUAGAGCGUAUCCCCAAAAUGAUAGCGGUAAAUCGGUAAGAGACAUCAUAGACCGCACCAUAUCCAAUAGAGUGCGAUUACGACGUUCGGACACACCGUUUCGCUGAGGUGUUCCAGGCGGCGUGAGUUGUGAAACGAUUCCACAUUUCUUUAAGUGUGUACCAAAUUCGUGACUUAAGUAUUCUCCUCCACGAUCUGAUCGCAGGAACUUUAUCUUUCGGUCACGUUGAUUCUCCACCUCAUUCUGAAAUUCCUUGAACUUUUCAAAGGUCUCAGACUUGUGUUUCAUUAAGUAGACAUACCCAUAUCUACUCAAGUCAUCAGUGAGAGUGAGAACAUAACGAUAUCCUCCGCGAGCCUCAACGCUCAUUGGACCGCACACAUCGGUAUGUAUGAUUUCCAACAAGUUGGUUGCUCGCUCCAUUGUUCCGGAGAACGGAGUCUUGGUAAUUUUGCUUAAGAGGCAUGGUUCUCAUGUGUCAAACGAUUCAUAAUCAAGAGACUCUAAAAGUCCAUCAGCAUGGAGCUUCUUCAUGCGCUUGACACCAAUGUGACCAAGGCGGCAGUGCCACAAGUAUGUGGGACUAUCGUUAUCAACUUUACAUCUUUUGGUAUCCACACUAUGAACAUGUGUAAUAUUACGCUCGAGAUUCAUUAAGAAUAAACCAUUGACCAUCGGAGCAUGACCAUAAAACAUAUCUCUCAUAUAAAUCGAACAACCAUUAUUCUCAGACUAAAAUGAGUAGCCAUCUCGUAUUAAACGAGAUCCAGAUACAAUGUUCAUGCUCAAACUUGGCACUAAAUAACAAUUAUUAAGGUUCAAAACUAAUCCCGUGGGUAAAUGUAGAGGCAGCGUGCCGACGGCGAUCACAUCGACUCUGGAACCAUUCCCGACGCGCAUCGUUACCUCAUCCUUCGCCAGUCUCCGUUUAUUCCGCAGCUCCUGCUGUGAGUUACAAAUAUGAGCAACGACACUGGUAUCAAAUACCCAGGAGUUACUACGAGUACUGGUAAGGUACACAUCAAUUACAUGUAUAUCAAAUAUACCUUUGGUGUUGCCGGCCUUCUUAUCCGCUAAGUAUUUGGGGUAGUUCCGCUUCCAGUGACCCUUCCCCUUGCAAUAAAAGCACUCAGUGUCAGGCUUGGGUCCAUUCUUUGACUUCUUCCCGGCAACUGGCUUACCGGGCGCGGCAACAUCUUUGCCGUCCUUCUUGAAGUUCUUCUUCCCCUUGCCCUUCUUAAACUUAGUGGUCUUAUUGACCAUCAACACUUGAUGUUCUUUCUUGAUUUCAGCCUCUGCUGACUUCAGCAUUGAGUACACUUCAGGAAUGGUCUUCACCAUCCCUUGCAUGUUGUAGUUCAUCACAAAGCUCUUGUAGCUUGGUGGAAGCGACUGGAGGAUUCUGUCAAUGACCGCCUCAUCUGGGAGGUUAAUGUUCAGCUGGGUCAUACGGUUGUGCAACCCAGACAUCUUCAGGAUGUGCUCACUGACAGAACUAUUUUCCUCCAUCUUACAACUGUAGAACUUGUCGGAGACAUCAUAUCUCUCGACCCGGACAAGAGCUUGGAAAACUAGUUUCAACUCUUCGAACAUCUCAUAUGCUCCGUGAUGCUCAAAACGCUUUUGGAGCCCCGGUUCUAAGCUGUAAAGCAUGCCGCACUGAACGAGGGAGCAAUCAUCAGAACGAGUCUGCCAAACGUUCAAAUCGUCUUGCAGUGCUGGGAGAAUAGGUGGGUCACCUAACGGUGCUUCUAGGACAUACUGUUUCUUGGCAGCUAUGAGGAUGAUCCUCAGGUUCCGGACCCAGUCCGUAUAGUUGCUGCCAUCAUCUUUCAGCUUGGUUUUCUCUAGGAACGCGUUGAAGUUCAUGUUGACAUUAGCGUUGGCCAUUGAUCUACAAGACAUAUUUGCAAAGGUUUUUAGACUAAGUUCAUGAUAAUAAAGUUCUAAUCAAAAUUAUGAACUCCCACUUAGAUUAGACAUCCCUCUAGUCAGCUAAGUGUCACACAAUCCGAGUCGACUAGCCCGUGUCCGAUCAUCACGUGAGACGGACUAGUCAUCGUCGGUGAACAUCUUCAUGUUGAUCGUAUCUUCCAUACGACUCGUGUUCGACCUUUCGGUCUCCGUGUUCCGAGGCCAUGUCUGCACAUGCUAGGCUCGUCAAGUUAACCCUAAGUGUUUUCGCUGUGUAAAACUGUCUUACACCCGUUGUAUGUGAACGUAAGAAUCCAUCACACCCGAUCAUCACGUGGUGCUUAGAAGCGACGAACUGUAGCAACGGUGCACAGUUAGGGGAGAACACUUCUUGAUAUUUUGUAAGGGAUCAUCUUAUUUACUACCGUCGCCCUAAGUAAACAAGAUGCAUAAACAUAAUAAACAUCACAUGCAAUUAUAUAGUUGUGACAUGAUAUGGCCAAUAUCAUAUAGCUCCAUUGAUCUCCAUCUUCGGGGCUCCAUGAUCAUCUUGUCACCGGCUUGACACCAUGAUCUCCAUCAUCGUGUCUUCAUGAAGUUGUCACGCCAACGACUACUUCUACUUCUAUGACUAACGCGUUUAGCAAUAAAGUAAAGUAGUUUACAUGGCGUUCUUCAAUGACACGCAGGUCAUACAAAAAAUAAAGACAACUCCUAUGGCUCCUGCCGGUUGUCAUACUCAUCGACAUGCAAGUCGUGAAUCCUAUUACAAGAACAUGAUUUCAUACAUCACAAUUCAUCAAUCAUCACAACUUCUGGCCAUAUCACAUCACAUGAUCAAUCGCUGCAAAAACAAGUUAGACGUCCUCUAAUUGUUGUUGCAUCUUUUACGUGGCUGCGAUUGGGUUCUAGCAAGAACGUUUUCUUACCUACGAAACACCACAACAUGAUUUUGUCAACUUCUAUUUACCCUUCAUAAGGGCCCUGUUCAUCGAAUCCGCUCCAACUAAAGUGGGAGAGACAGACACCCGCCAGCCACCUUAUGCAAUAGUGCAUGUCAAUCGGUGGAACCGGUCUCACGUAAGCGUACGUGUAAGGUUGGUCCGGGCCGCUUCAUCCCACAAUGCCGUUGAAGCAAGAAAAAGACUAGUAGAGGCAAGUAAGUUGACAAGAUCAACGCCCACAACAAAUUGUGUUCUACUCGUGCAUUAGAGAACUACGCAUAGACCUAGCUCAUGAUGCCACUGUUGGGGAACGUUGCAGAAAAUUAAAAUUUUUCCUACGGUUUCACCAAGAUCCAUCUAUGAGUUCAUCUAAGCAACGAGUCACGGGAGAGAGUUUGCAUCUACAUACCACUUGUAGAUCGCGUGCGGAAGCUUGCAAGGUGAUGAUGUAGUCGUACUCGACGUGAUUCGAAUCACCGAUGACCAAGUGCUGAACGGACAGCACCUCCGCGUUCAACACACGUACGGCACGGAUGACGUCCCCUCCGUCUUGAUCCAGCAAGGAGGAAGGAGAGGUUGAGGAAGACAGCUCCACCGGCAACACGAUGGCGUGGUGAUGGUGGAGAAACAGUACUCCGACAGGGCUUCGCCGAGCACACAACGGAGGAGGAGAGGUGUUGGGGAGGAAGAAGGAGGCAACCAAAGGCCAAGGACUCAAGGUAUGAAGUCCCUCCUCUCCCCACUAUAUAUAGGANNNNNNNNNNNNNNNNNNNNNNNNNNNNNNNNNNNNNNNNNNNNNNNNNNNNNNNNNNNNNNNNNNNNNNNNNNNNNNNNNNNNNNNNNNNNNNNNNNNNNNNNNNNNNNNNNNNNNNNNNNNNNNNNNNNNNNNNNNNNNNNNNNNNNNNNNNNNNGGGGGGGGUGGCCGGCCCUAGGAGAUCCAAUCUCCUAGGGGGGCGGCGGCCAAGGGGGGUUUCCCUCCCCCCCAAGGCACCUAGGAGGUGCCUUCCCCUCCUAGGACUCUUCCCCCUUGAACCCUAGGCGCAUGGGCCUAUGUGGGGCUGGUGCCCUUGGCCCAUGCAGGCCAAGGCGCACCCCCUACAGCCCAUGUGGCCCCCCCGGGGCAGGUGGCCCCACCCGGUGGGCCCCCGGGACCCCUCCGGUGGUCCCGGUACAAUACCGAUAACCCCGAAACUUGUCCCGAUGCCCGAAACAGGACUUCCCAUAUAUAAAUCUUUACCUCCGGACCAUUCCGGAACUCCUCGUGACGUCCGGGAUCUCAUCCGGGACUCCGAACAACAUUCAGUAGUCACAUACUAGUCUUCCUAAUAACCCUAGCGUCACCGAACCUUAAGUGUGUAGACCCUACGGGUUCGGGAGACACGCAGACAUGACCGAGACGACUCUCGGGCAAUAACCAACAGCGGGGUCUGGAUACCCAUGUUGGCUCCCACAUGCUCCUCGAUGAUUUCAUCGGUUGAACCACGAUGUCGAGGAUUCGAUCAAACCCUGUAUGCAAUUCCCUUUGUCAAUCGGUACGUUACUUGCCCGAGACUCGAUCGUCGGUAUCCCAAUACCUUGUUCAGUCUCGUUAGCGGCAAGUCACUUUACUCGUACCGUAAUGCAUGAUCCCGUGACCAACACCUUGGUCACAUUGAGCUCAUUAUGAUGAUGCAUUACCAAGUGGGCCCAGAGAUACCUCUCCGUCAUACGAAGUGACAAAUCCCAGUCUCGAUCCGUGUCAACCCAACAGAUACUUUCGGAGAUACCUGUAAUGCACCUUUAUAGUCACCCAGUUACGUUGUGACGUUUGAUACACCCAAGGCACUCCUACGGUAUCCGGGAGUUACACGAUCUCAUGGUCGAAGGAAGAGAUACUUGACAUUGGCAAAGCUCUAGCAAACGAACUACACGAUCUUUGUGCUAUGCUUAGGAUUGGGUCUUGUCCAUCACAUCAUUCUCCUAAUGAUGUGAUCCCGUUAUCAACGACAUCCAAUGUCCAUAGUCAGGAAACCAUGACCAUCUGUUGAUCACAACGAGCUAGUCAACUAGAGGCUCACUAGGGACAUAUUGUGGUCUAUGUGUUCACACGUGUAUUACGAUUUCCGGAUAAUACAGUUAUAGCAUGAACAAAAGACAAUUAUCAUGAACAAUGAAAUAUAAUAAUACUUUUAUUAUUGCCUCUAGGGCAUAUUUCCAACACUAGCGACCGCCUAAACUGAAUAUUAAGGGGGAUAGAUUGAAACACCGUUGCCACAAACACAUCACGUCGUUGAGCAAUCCGAUAUAAAGACGGAUAUUGAAUGGCUAAAGGUGAGUCGCCAAGCCAAGUAU